rnacentral:rRNA from 1 species
AUUGAACGCUGGCGGCGUGCCUAACACAUGCAAGUCGAGCGGUAACAGGUGUAGCAAUACAUGCUGACGAGCGGCGGACGGGUGAGUAACGCUUGGGAAUCUGCCUGUUAGUGGGGGACAACCCGGGGAAACUCGGGCUAAUACCGCAUACGCACUACGGUGGAAAGCCGGGGACCGCAAGGCCUGGCGCUAACAGAUGAGCCCAAGUCGGAUUAGCUAGUUGGUAGGGUAACGGCCACCAAGGCGACGAUCCGUAACUGGUCUGAGAGGACGACCAGUCACACCGGAACUGAGACACGGUCCGGACUCCUACGGGAGGCAGCAGUGGGGAAUAUUGGACAAUGGGCGAAAGCCUGAUCCAGCGACGCCGCGUGGUGAAGAAGGCCUGCGGGUUGUAAAGCCCUUUCGGUGGGGAAGAAAAGCCUCGAGUUAAUACCUCGGGUCUUGACGUAACCCAUAGAAGAAGCACCGGCUAACUCUGUGCCAGCCGCCGCCGU